AUGAACAAGCUGAGUAGUUCAAUACCCGAGGCAGAUUUCCGGACCUGCAGAAAGAGAAAGAAGGGAGGCUCCGGAGGUCGUCAGCGUUCCCAGGCAGGAAAGUGGCGGAGCCGUACAGGACCUGUUUCACUGCAGGGGGAUCCAAAACAAGCCCCGUGGAGCAGCAGCCAGAGCAACAGCAGCCGCGAGACAUUGUUUCUCUCCCUCUGCCCCCCUUCCCCACGCAACCCCAGAUCCAUUUACACUUUACAGAGCAUCGUGCAACAAGUCACCAGGGUGGUACAUUCAAGCUGCAGAUUUGUUUGUCAUCCUUGUACAACAAUCUCCUUCUCCACUGCCACUGCAGGGAAGUGCAUCACGUGUCAGGUCACAGAACAGAAAGUGCUGGUGAACAUCUCUUCUUGCCCCAAGAUCUUCGUGGGAAGUCCUCGGGACUUGGUGUCUUUGCUGUGCAAAGUAUUUAUGAACUCGCCAGGAGGCAUAAUGUGUCACCAUUUUACUCUGGGCUACCCUAAAGGAUGACACCCAGCUUCAGAGACCUCCUCUUGGACGUCAUCCCUGAGAACCAAUGAUUUAGCUUCCCCAUUGUCUAAAAUCUGUUUCUGACUGGUUUUGAGCUGGCAUAGGCUUAGUCAUUAGUGGCCAGGACCCUGUUAAAUGUUCUGCUUGAUCUGCUUGCAGGGACACACCUUUUGUCACUUGCAGAGCAGCAACUCCCUCUUGAGCUCGUGGGGAGUCUUUACACAAAUAUACUAGAAAAGAGGCACCAAUCCAUUCUUUCCAUUUUGACGUUUGCCCACGGGCAUAGUCCUGGGAUGACCUGGAAUAGAGGCAGUGGAGGAUAAAUUCAUCUUGCACAGACUUGUUCGUGCCAGUUCUAGCCUGUCUCUCGCCACAGAUCUAGCUUUUAAAUACUCAAGUGAUUGGUUGUGUGUAGGAAUGUGUGGAUUGUUGGAUUGGAAGAAUUUUCUCCCUGGAUUUCUUCUGUUUACAUAAGCAGAUAUAAAAAAAAUGUUCUAUCACUGAUUUAAAUAGCAGGGCUUAUUUUAAAAAUAUGGGUGCUUCAAGGUGGCACAGGAUAAACAUGUAAAUUUUGUUUUUCUUUAUUGCAAGUUGUAACACAACCAAAAAGUGUAUAUUAAUGUGUUGUCAGGAAAGGGUCAAAAAGGAAAAUUUGCAACCAAGACAAACUAGAAUAGAACGAGUGUAAACAGAAGCUGACAAAUAUAUGCCCCUUGUUGGGAGUUCAGCCCAUGGAAUGUUAUGUAGGACAAAAGGAAUGGAAGAGAUAUUUCAGUAACAUUUUGUUCUCUGUCAGAAACCUUCUGAAAUAUAAAUCUGCUGUGUAUUGGAGAAUGGAUACAGCAAUUGAUUCAAGUUGAAUAGCUUUCAUUUAACAGGAGUAUCCCACAGAAAGCAGUUCUUGUUCUGACAACCAUAGUUUUGCUUUCCUUGACUAAAAGAAAAUUGAAUUCAUGUUUACAUAUCUUAUAGGAUUGUUUUACGGACAAAGACACAGGUCAAAUCCCAUCACAGUGGCUAGUAUUACAGCAAAUAGAAACAUGAGUAAAUGAAAUAAAAACACUUUUAAGCUGUGACCAGUGUCUACAGUAAUAAUACUAGGUUGGUAUUUUGAAGCCGUUUGCAACUAUAAAUAAUUCAGAAGUAGAUGUGCCUUUUUUUUUUUUUAAAGAAAUUCUGGGGUAUUUUUUUUGAAAAAAUUUUAGUCUCUUACUAUAAACACACACAUACACAUGUCUCACCUAUUUGCAUAACAGAGAAGGAAUAAUAUAUAUAUGUAGCAGAAGUCAUCCUUUACUUUAGACUU